rnacentral:tRNA from 1 species
GCGGGAAGAGCUCAGUUGGUAGAGCGCAACCGUGCCACGGUUGAGGUCGCGAGUUCGAGCCUCGGUUCCCGCUCCA